rnacentral:rRNA from 1 species
GACGAACGCUGGCGGCGUGCCUAAUACAUGCAAGUCGAACGCAGUGGGGACGGGUGAGUAAAACGUGCGUAACCUGCCAUCAGAGGGGAAAACACUUGGAAACAGGUGCUAAACCGAUACUGAUGGAUGGACCCGCUGUGCAUUAGCUACUUGGGGAGGUAACGGCUCACAAAGGCCACGAUGCAUAGCCGAGCUGAGAGGGUGAUCGGCCACACUGGGACGGAGACACGGCCCAGACUCCUACGGGAGGCAGCAGUAGGGAAUCUUCGGCAAUGGACGAAAGUCUGACCGAGCAACGCCGCGUGAGUGAAGAAGGUUUUCGGAUCGUAAAACUCUGUUGUUAGAGAAGCGGUAUCUAACCAGAAAGCCACGGCUAACUACGUGCCAGCAGCCGCGGUAAUAC